CCCCGAUCUGAUAGAGGUUACACAGGUACGAUCAUAUUAAGCAUAUUUCCACAUUAGUCAUGUUGUGAAAGAAGAAUCAGAACAAAAGGGGAAAACCAUGAGAAAACAAAAGCAAUGGAAAAGUGAAAACAGUCUGCUGCGAUCUGCAUUCAGACGCUGGCUUUUCCUCUGGACGAGCUCGUCAUUUCCCAUCACGGGUCUUUCGGAAUUGCGCCAGUUGUUGGCGGGGUUUUGUUCCUGGCGGAGUCGGACCAUGAGGGACCUUCCUGAGUUCUGGUGGUUCUGAAAAGGGCAGGACGAUGGGUGGGGUGGGCAGGGAGGGGGAGGCUGAGAAGAGGCAUCUGGAGUCCACGUGGGAUCACUGGAGGUUCAGGCGGGGCUCCUCACUGGGAGAUACGAGUCCAGGCUCACCCCCACCCCAUUCCUCCCUCUCGUAAUGACUUCCUGGUGCUUAGGACUGACUGCACAUAUGAGUUGUCCCUCCCACCUCUGUCCCCUGGCAAAAAGUCAGCUCUGGACAUCCCGCCUGGGUGCAGGACCUGUCCCACCUUUUCCCUUGUAUCCCCAGAAAGGGGCCUGGUGUAUGGGAGGUACUAAAUCAGUGCUGGUAAAAUCGAACUGAUCUGAAUUGACUUGAUCUGACCCUAAUAAAUGUUGACUGACUGAAGAAAGCAGCCUGGUGAAGGGGGCAGAGGAUGGAGGGGGAUGGGCUUGGCCUGGCUCAGCUCCUCCUGAGUGGCCCCCCAGGCUCCAGGCAAUAACAAGGCUGAAGCGUGGCCCACAGAAAUGGCUGUAGCCACCGCGUUCUGGGACGUUGGUGACUGUGUCACUGUGCUGACGAGCUUAAGGUCUUUCCGGCAACUUCCUUAUCGGCCAUCCCUGCCUGGUUUGGGUAUCUGCCAGUACAGUUCUGAUGAAUGGGUAUGGCUAAGUAGUAAAAUCCCUGCUCAGAGUCCCCUUUGGUGCAGAAGGCCUUUAACAUACCCUAUUUUCCCCUCCUUUCCUCCUUGGGAGGAUACUCCCAAAUUCUUAACAGCAAGAGUGGUCCAAAAGUGGAAGGGGCUGUCUCAGUAGGUACUGGGCCUCCCUGGAGGCUGCCGGCGGGAGUCAGCUUUUUGGGGUUGGGGAGAGCCAUUUGUUAAAUGUUUGGUGGGAGCAUUUACACUUCAGAAGUUGGCAAACACUAUAAAUCAGAGUCUGAUGUCUUGUUUUGUUAAUUAAAGAAGAUAUGGGUAAUACAGAGCAGGUUAUUAAACACCAGCACACCCCAACUCCCCCCUCUAGAGGCAAGUCAGUGAAUCAAACCACAAGCAUUCAUUCUGUGCCUGCUCACAGCCUAGAAGGGUGUGCUGAGUGUGGCAGUGCAUGAAGAGCAGUCCUCUUCUUCACCCAGAGAGAGCUCCUGGAACAUCAGUGUGGCAGCUGGAGGGGAGAGAGAUCGGAGGCUUUAGCAGCUGAGGAAGCCACUUCAACAGGCCAGGCCCAAGGUGACGAGGACCCGAAGGAUGGAGGCGAGAAAUACCUGGGAAGACU